rnacentral:rRNA from 1 species
UACGAAAGGGGCUAGCGUUGUUCGGAAUUACUGGGCGUAAAGCGCACGUAGGCGGACUUGAAAGUCGGAGGUGAAAUCCCAGGGCUCAACCUUGGAACUGCCUUUGAGACUGCUGGUCUUGAGGUCGAGAGAGGUGAGUGGAAUUCCGAGUGUAGAGGUGAAAUUCGUAGAUAUUCGGAGGAACACCAGUGGCGAAGGCGGCUCACUGGCUCGAUACUGACGCUGAGGUGCGAAAGCGUGGGGAGAAAACAGG